rnacentral:lncRNA from 1 species
UAUAUUUAAAUCAACCAUUCCAUAAUCCAUGCAUUACAUUCAAUGAAUGGAUGUGUUUUUUCAUCAAGGUCAACUGUUUUCCAUAUGAGGUGGGAUGUCUCCUGGUCUGCAGGUAUGUUGAAGCAAAGGCCAAAAUACAUGCUGUAAUGGCAGAGUUCUAUAUUUAUCUGCAUGGCUCUUGUUUAAAGCAUUAUUAACAAACCAUUUCACUUCAGUUUUUUGCUCUUCCAGUUUGAUAUGUUUCUCACAGGGCAUGUAUAUAUAUAUGGCUUUCUUGAAGUUUUGAAGAUAGCAGGAGUAGGACUUGAAUCUGAAUCUUAUCACUUAUCACACUCAACAAGGAAGAGUGUCAAUGGACUAAACUCCCAUUAGUGACUAAUAAGGAACCUCAUUGAUGGAUAGAUUGGAAGGCUAGUUUUUCCAAAAAAUGUGAGAGGGAGUAGGUGGUUAUAUAUGAUUUAAAAAACCUAAGCAGAUUUGGUAGAUUGCGUUUCCAGAUGGGCAGAUUCUAAAAUCUGAUUCCCUAUAUUAUUUUGUAUUGAAUGCAGAAUGCCUG